AUUGAUCACGGUCAAUUUUUCCGGCCGCCGGUGCAGUUACCUUGAGUCCAUCGAAGAGACAACCAGCGAAGAAGAAGGAGCCAACCAUGUUUAUCGAUGAAGUGGUGCUGGCCGGAAUUGGAGUGGUGGGAUUAAUGUUCGUCUUCGCUGGCGGAAUCGGUUAUUUCAUCUGGAAGGACUCCCAGAACCAGAAGUAGGAAAAGUCCUUCAGAUCCAGAGCACGCAAGGCACUUUCGGGCGACGUUGUCGCCCUUU
rnacentral:sRNA from 1 species